CAGGGACUAAGAAGCUCUGGCUGCAGGCUAGCACCUUUGUGCACCAGUGUCAGUGUAAAGUGAAAAACACUCUGCAUUUGGGGCUGAGACCACACAAGCCCCAGGAAGAAGCCACACUCUUGGACUAGAAGGGGCUGGAUGAAGCAAACUGCACCAUUUCCCAUCACAAGAGCACCCAGCUGUAACCAGCACCCACACUGCACCUCCAAUACACUUCUAGUGUCUUGCAGGAGAGUCCCAAUUUUGACUGGGUUUGCUGAUUACUUGUCGGGGCAUUGCAGGAAUUAGACUCAGGAGGGUGAUUUGUUCGAGGAGGGCGAGCACCACACCCAGCCAUUCCCUCACACACCUCAGAGCCACAGCAGCCUUCACAGUGGGUAAGUGCUGAAUUUCAUCACCUGCACUACAGCCUGUGCUUGGGGCUGAGCUAGGCACAGCUUCAAUUGUACAUUUUCAGCAAUCUUGAGUUGCUGUUCAGAUAGCCAAAAAUCCAGACAAGGCACUUCCUACAGCCUGCAUAAACGUAUUGAUUUAUUUGAAAUUUUUCUGUCAGUGUAAAUUUUUGAAGAAGUUUGAACAGGUCCUGUCUUUAAAAUCUUUAAGUCAAAUUUAAGUGACUACUAAGGACACAAAGUACGACUCAAAAAAACCCCCAACAUCUCAUCCGAGUCACACUUUGAACCCCUCACGGGUAAAACUAAAAUUAAGUGCUGCUGUGUCUUGGGCCGCAGCCGAGUAGCAGGCAGUGAGUCUGCAGCCAGUGCAGGCCAGUGCCCGCACCCGUCCACACGGCCCCGGUGGCUGCUGCCCGGCCAUGC